CCAACACCUUUCAGAUGAACUGGAGCGGCGACAUUAAGCCAGACCUGAUCACCCAACAUCAAUGUUGGACCUCACUCAUGCUCUUGUGGCUGAAGCAAAUAUCUGCAGCCUGCUUCUGGUAGAAAGCCCGACACCAGAAGAGUGGAGGCUGUUACAACAUUAAUACCCAUGGUUUUGGAAUCACAUGUUCACAAAUCACAUGUGUGAGGACAGUCGAGGACUUACGUGUCUUUCCCAUAUCAGACUGGCGCAGACCUUCUCCCUCUGGGUAAACUGGAACCACAGUCACAGUGCAGUUAGAAAAACCAAGAAACUAAUGGGGCAUGGAUGAAGUUCUCAGCUGCUGGUAAAUCUCCAACAUCUGGAACUGGCAACUCUCGACAGUUACAUAAGUUCUGCCAUCACAUGUCUUUUAGAUUUCAGCGAAGAUCAACUCGUCUUAGGAAAUGUCUCAAACCUGGUGGCAUAAUAUCUACACAGUGUAUCUACACAGUCUUACCACAUCCUGCUCUCCUCCGGCGGCGGGCACCCAGAUCACGAUGUACUCGCGUACGUUUCCCUCAGCGGGCUCCCAGCGGACGUUCAGGGUGCUGGUGGUGGGAUCGGUAACCUGCAGGUUCCUCACAAAACCCAGCGGCUCUGGAGAGAGACACGAAGCAGGAAGACAAAUUUAAUGCUUGGAUCAGAUCGUCACACAGCUGCUGUCUAGUCAGAGUUUACUGGUGUCUCCGGGAGGCAGUUUGUUCAUAUGUUGGACGGCAAGAAAAUGGAUUUUUUCCUUUAGGUCCACUGAUUCAGACUCUGUUUUACUCUGCUGUCAUUGAGAUAGAUGCUUUUGUAUAUUUGGGCUACAAUUGGGAAAAUAUUUUGUGGUUCUGUCAUUCAGAUUGCUCCUUGCUGACGUCAAUAAAUCCAUAGCAGAGUUUGGAGAGUGGAGAUUAAAGCCAAAUAACUUCAGUAAUUCUUCACCUUCAUUAGUGAAAUACAUUUCCCAUUUAUCAUUUCUCAUUUAUCCAGUCUUUAUUUGGAGAAUAACAAUUAUAAGAAAAACAACUGACACGAAACAACACUUACUAACUGACCAUAUCAAAUAUAAAUGUGACUGAUAUCUAAUUCAUAAGAGGCACUAGACAAGGAAGCAAAAAAUAAAAGCCGUGGAAAGAAAGAAAGAAGACUUUUCUGCACAAUUUUCUGCGUAGCAACACUUUUGUCAACUAAGAAAAAGGUUGUCUGCAGCUGUUCUUCAGAAAGACUCUGAAAGGUAACGCUCCAUUGAUUUGAAGGACUUCUUGGAGGCUCAGGUGCUUUUCAAGGUUCAUGGAGGCACUUGAACUUAAAUAAAACCACAGACACUCACUUGUCUUCCCGCCGUCUGUCAGACUGGGUCCGUCUCCCUCUGCGUAGACGGGGACCACGGUGAUGGUGUAGCGGGUGUCCGGUAGAAGCUUCUCCAGGACGGUGUUAGUGGUGCUCUCUGACACUUGCUCCUGCAAAGACAUAAGUGGUGAACUCAACACCCUGCAGAACUGCCCUUUAACAACCACCACCCCACAAAAGCCCUGACCUUUGACCUUCAGCAGGUGGAAAGACUAAUAUUACUGUUCAACUGGUAUUUAUUUUUGAUGACUGAAACUAAUUUAUUUUGUGCAUAAGUGCUGAAUAUUUUGUGACAAUAUUAAAAACAUCAUUUGUGCAGAACAGUCUCUUAAAAAACAGUCUUUUAUCCAGCAACAUGCUCUUUUGUUUAUCUACAAAGCACUUUUUUGAAAACUACCUCCCUAUAUAUCAUCCUUAAUUGUUACUAGACUAACAAAUAUCAGACAAACAAUACCAGAUCACAGAUGUGGAUUUCUCUAGAGACUCCAGCGGUUUCCGCAGAGUUGGGUAGGACUGCUUUCAUUCCUUCGCUCCAUACUUAAGGAACAAACUCAAAGACCAAAUUCAAUUUGAACACUCUGGUGUCACUUACUCAAUUUAGAAAUGUUAUGGAGAAUCAAUAUGAUGUUGUAUGCAAUUGUUUCCAUUACUGUACUUCUUUUUUAUUGUUUUUAAAUCUAUAUUCACUUGUUUGUGUGUCUACUCUUCAUGUUAAAAUGUUUACACAGCCUAAAAAGAGAUCCGGGUCUGUUUUCCCUGUUUAAAUAAAGUUAAAUUAAUAACCGUCGUAAGACUUUCCACUUACACCACUUUCCCAGGUUGAAAAGUGUUUAUUUUUAUUUACUGGAACAUUUUACGUUUCCCAGCAAUUUGACCGACCAAACUUAAUGGCAGCAAAAAACAAACUUAACUUAAUUCAGAGUUUCCUUAAGUAAAAAUACUUAUAAACAUGACUGUAA